rnacentral:snRNA from 1 species
GGGUUGUGAGGUUAGUCUUGCUGAGACAUCCCACCCCGUUGAUCAGCUGGGUUGAUUGGUCUGACCUGGCCAGCUGUGAGGGUGUCCCUGUCUCCAUCUCCACUCCAAGGACACCCAUCCCAAAGCUGCACACUGGAUCAAAGAUGACUGCUCUCUGUUCAAGGGCACAGGAGUAACCUGUUCACCCCUACUAGAGUCUCAAAAAACAAGCCCUCAAACUCAGUAAACACUUAACCUUGAAGCUUAAAAUACUAGGGAUGGUUGUCAGAUUAUUAUUGAUGUAAUGAUGUAACCAAAGAACCCACAUAAGGAAGGAAAGCUUGCGUUGG